UAUUAAAAUUUUAUCCGUUCUCCUAUUAAAAACUAAUGCAGCUGACAAAUUAAUCAGACAGUUACAUGUAAUGUGUCACGUAUACCUCAUGUUGACGUACAGGGACCAAUUUUUAACAGUAGAAAUGGAUAGAAUUUUUAACA
rnacentral:pre_miRNA from 1 species